ACGAACGCUGGCGGCGUGCUUAACACAUGCAAGUCGAGCGGUAAGGCCCUUUCGGGGGUACACGAGCGGCGAACGGGUGAGUAACACGUGGGUGACCUGCCCUCAGCUCUGGGAUAAGCCUGGGAAACUGGGUCUAAUACUGGAUAUGACUCCACGGUGCAUGUCGUGGGGUGGAAAGCCUUGUGCGGCUGAGGAUGGGCCCGCGGCCUAUCAGCUUGUUGGUGGGGUGAUGGCCUACCAAGGCGACGACGGGUAGCCGGCCUGAGAGGGCGACCGGCCACACUGGGACUGAGACACGGCCCAGACUCCUACGGGAGGCAGCAGUGGGGAAUCUUGCGCAAUGGGCGAAAGCCUGACGCAGCGACGCCGCGUGAGGGAU
rnacentral:rRNA from 1 species